rnacentral:rRNA from 1 species
UACGUAGGUGGCAAGCGUUGUCCGGAUUUACUGGGUGUAAAGGGCGUGCAGCCGGGAGUGCAAGUCAGAUGUGAAAUCCCGCGGCUCAACCGCGGAACUGCAUUUGAAACUGUGCUUCUUGAGUGCUGGAGAGGCAGACGGAAUUCCUAGUGUAGCGGUGAAAUGCUUAGAGAUCAUACAGAACACCGAUUGCGAAGGCAGCUUACCAAGCUACUUCUGACGUUGAGGCACGAAAGCGUGGGGAGCAAACAGG